CAAUGGCUGUGUUUGGCAUCUCCGCCGUGUUGUUGCUGGCCAGCCUGAGCCAAGGGCAGGACUUCCCUUUCCGGGACCCGACUUUACCCUGGGAAGAGCGGCUAGACGACCUGAUCAACAGGCUGACUCUCGAGGAGAUGGUGCUGCAGAUGGCAAGAGGAGGUGCAGGUCCCAACGGCCCGGCACCCCCCAUUGAGCGGCUGGGCAUUGGCCCUUUCAACUGGAACACGGAGUGCCUCCGAGGAGACGUAGAAGCCCCGGGCUGGGCAACCGCCUUCCCGCAAGCCCUGGGCUUGGCUGCCUCGUUCAGCCCUGACCUCAUCUACAGCGUCGCCAAUGUCACAGCCACGGAGGUCCGUGGCAACCAUAACUACUUUGUCUCCCGUGGCUACUACUUUGACCACACCGGCCUGAGCUGCUUCAGCCCCGUCCUGAACAUCAUGAGGCACCCGCUGUGGGGCAGGAACCAGGAGACUUAUGGGGAAGACCCCUUCCUGACGGCGCAGCUGGGCGUAGCUUUUGUGACGGGGCUUCAGGGAGACCACCCUCGCUACGUCAAGGCCAGCGCGGGCUGCAAACACUUCGAUGUCCACGGAGGUCCCGAGAAUGUCCCCACGUCCCGGUUUUCCUUUGACACCAAGGUGGAGGAACGUGACUGGCGCAUGACUUUCCUGCCUCAGUUUGAAGCCUGUGUGCAGGCUGGAACCUUCAGCUUCAUGUGCAGUUACAACAGGAUUAAUGGGGUGCCCGCCUGUGCCAACAAGAAACUUCUGACGGACAUCCUGCGUGGCGAGUGGGGCUUCCAGGGCUACGUGGUGAGUGACGAAGGAGCCAUCGAGUUGAUCAUGGUUGGGCACCACUUCACCCAGAGCUUCCUGGAGACUGCAAUUGCUUCUGUGAAUGCUGGAUGCAACCUGGAACUUGCGUAUUUGAUGAAAGCGAAUGUGUUCACUCACAUAAGUGAAGCUGUGGCCAAGGGCAACAUCUCCUUGGAGACGGUUAAGGCCCGCGUCCGCCCGCUCUUCCGCACCCGCAUGCGCCUGGGCGAGUUCGACCCACCGGCCAUGAACCCCUACAAUGCUCUGGGACUCGGCGACGUGGCCACUGAAGCUCAUCACCAACUAGCUCUCUGUGCUGCCGUUCAGUCCUUCGUCCUGCUCAAAAACGACCAAGGAACCCUCCCUCUUAAGGCCCAAGAUGUAUCUGACAAGACAUUUGCAGUGGUUGGACCUUUUGCAGACAACCCUAGACUUUUGUUUGGAGACUACGCUCCACUUUCAUUACCCAAGUACAUCUACACACCCAGAAGAGGGAUCGCAACCAUCUCGGCGAAUGUCUCCUAUGCUGCGGGGUGUAGCCAUCCCAGUUGCGACCGGUAUUUCCCUGCGGAAGUGGAAAAAGUGGUACAGGCGGCAGACGUUGUGGUUGUUUGUCUGGGUACAGGAACGGACCUUGAGAGUGAAGGCCUGGACCGGACAGACCUGGCUUUGCCCGGGCACCAGCUGGACCUUCUGCAGGAUGCCGUGGCUUGGGCUGCUGGCCGGCCGGUGAUUCUGCUCCUGUUCAACGCCGGCCCGCUGGACGUGAGCUGGGCCAAGGAAAACGAUGGCGUGGGAGCCAUUGUAGCCUGUUUCUUCCCCGCUCAGGCCACCGGUCUGGCUAUUGCCAAGGUGUUGGUGGGAGCCGAUGGGACGAACCCUGCAGGCAGGCUCCCGGCCACCUGGCCAGCAGGUAUGAACCAGGUGGUGCAGCUCUAUCUCCGUUGGGGAAGGGCAUCGGUGCCAGUCCCGCGUUGGCAGCUGGUUGGCUUCCGGAGGGUCCUGAUACCACAAGGACAAUCCGUCAAGGUGUCCUUCCUGCUCUCCUUCGACCAGAGAGCCGUAUGGGCUGGGGAAUGGCAGCUGGAGCCGGGCACUUUCACCCUUUUCGUCGGCGGGCAGCAGCCCUUCCAAGAAACCCGGGCCCCUUCCAACAUCCUUCAAGCCGAUUUCACUGUUUUGGGAAGCUCGCGCAAAAGAAGCCAAUGCUAGUCGCUGUGACUCACUGGGAAAAAAGCAAUGCAGGGACUCAUGACGUUAGUGAAUGUUCUUACAUUAAAGAAGACCAGAUUUGGAGCAGAGAAUACAGUACACGCCACGAUGGUUUGCAAAGUGGGGAUGACCUUGCCACGGAUGCGCAAUUGACAUUGUUCGUGGAACAGAUUGCGAUGGGAAACAGGCAAGGGCAAGGAAAGGGCUUGCAGAGAAAAUAAAAUAUUGUUUUCUGAAAUAAGCCAAUGUGUUCAUUUCUUUUUUCAAGUGGUGCUGGAAUAACUGCAAUCUGUGCAUAUAUCCACCAGAUGGAGCUUUGCACAUACUUUUACAAGGUUCCCAUUCAUAACAAUCCUUGGUUGGGUUGUUGUAUGUCUUUCGGGCUGUGUGGCCAUGUUCCAGAAGCAUUCUCUCCUGACGUUUCGCCCACAUCUAUGGCAGGCAUCCUCAGAGGUUGUGAGGUAUGGAAUCCUUGGUUGUGUUGUGGAAAGGCUUUCAUGGCCCCAAUUACUGGAUUGCGGUGAGUUUUUCGGCCUGUAGGGCCAUGUUCCAGCAGCAUUCUGUCCUGACGUUUCGCCUGCAUCUGUGGCUGGCAUCUUCAGAGGUUCUGUUGGCAGUGAAGCAAAUAGAGAGAGUGUGUGUGUAUAUAUGUGUGUGUGUGAAUAUAUAUAUAUGUAUGUAUGUAUAUAUAUAUAUAUAUAUAUAUAUAUAUAUAUAUAUAUAUAUUCACACACACAUUAGCCAUGCCAUGCAUUGCUGCGUCUCUUUAGUCUGGUGGUC
ensembl:lncRNA